rnacentral:tRNA from 1 species
GGGGAUUUAGCUCAGCGGCAUAAGCACCUGCCUUGCAAGCAGGCGUUCAAUCCCUG